UUGUUCCACUUCCACGAUCGACUGCAGUACUCCAAUUCCUGCUUUAUCUCCUUCUUUCUCGCUUCAAGCCAGAUAACAAUUUUGAUGAUGGAUUUGAAGAGAUUACAACUGCAAUUUCUUUUCUCUCUCUUAGGUUAAUUAAGAAAAAAUAAAUAAAACCCUUCAAUAAAAUUCCCUUCCUCUUUCUCUUUUCUUUACGGUGAGACAACAAUUUUAGAUAUUUAAUGAAAGUGAAGGCGAAAACACCUCACAAGAUUUUCAGGGUCCAUAAAUGUUGAACUAGGAACUUCCCCAGCUUACUGCGUGGUCAGAAGUGAACUCCAGAGGUAAAUUGUUGUCUGUUAUCUGUUAGGAACUUGUGGAUAUAAAGUUGUUGCUUCUGACAAGUUCUUUGACAUUCAAAUCUUGUGUACAACAUCCAAAUCUCGGGUAAAUGGUUCGUUGGCAUCCAUCUAAGUUGUUUCACUAGUAUUCAAGAACUCUCAUAUUAAUUUUUGGUAGGGAAACACCGUUCUUUAUAUUUGUGAGUUUAUUUUCUUGCAAUGCAUCAGUACUUCUCAGUUUCAAUAUUAAACACUUCCUUUUCUUGCUAAUUAUAAAUUUCCUUACUUAACAUAUCAUGGAUAUUUCUUGGAUUUUCUCCUUAUAUAGUUUUUUAAAAUAUUGGUGACUAUAUUAUUAUUGUGGUGAAACAAUGCAUGGAAAUAGGAUGGACCCUGUCCAACAACAUCUUGUCAUAUGGACCUGAUGGUAGCGAACUUUCUUUCUUUGUUCAUUCAGUAAUACUUUUAUGUUUCUGUAUUUGCUCUUUGAUAACUUCUUUUAUGGCAGUGGUAAAUUAACUUUCAAGGCACUGAUGGAGUCUGCGGCACAGUCAUUUGUAAAUAAUGGUGAGAAAUACAAAGAUGAAAAACAAGAGGCAUUUCUUACUUCACUAGAACUUGGUAUGCGUCAUGGAUAAAUAAAAAUUUCAAACCUUCACUCCACCUCCUUUCGAUUAUGUGUGUAUCUCUUAUUGUGUUCUUUGCAUUUCGUCAAUUAGUUCUACUUCUUUCGUAUUUGACUUCCGAUGUAAUUUUGAUCACUUUCUAUGAUUAAUGUCUAGUUCUGUGGUGUUUGGAUCCCAUUUCACAAUAUAAUUUGAAGUUGCUAAAAUAAUAAUAUGUUAGAGGGUCGAAUGAAAUAUACCUUGGCCUUCUUACUCAAUAAGAAAAAGAUGAAGUUAGAUUUUGCGUUUUUCACCUCCUUUUUAUACUAGUUUCAAUUUCAAAUUCCUAAUGCUGAACAUUCUGAUGUUUCUUUUGGAUUUGGGUGCUGGUGGCUGAGUGAAUUGUGCUUGUGAAGGUGGUGAUCAGAAAUACUGAUAUAUGCAUAAGCUUCAUGUGCGCACCAAGUAUUGCACAAUUUUGGUGUAUUAGCAUGCAACUGAUGGUCGACGCAGUCAUCCAGGACUCAGACAUGCUUAUUCCUUUGGAUGCCAAGCGACAUUCUAGCAAAAGAGUUCGGAUGAGUUAACUUUGUUGUGGUGUGGGUGCGUCAUCCAUCUUCAGUAACGGGACCUGGAGUAUGCAGGCAAUGGAAGUGCAGUUCUCCCAAAAAUUUGUUAGAGGCUGUCCUUCCAAUUCUUUUAUGCAAAUGCGCUUAUAUGGUUUCAUACUUGCUGACCAUAUUGAUAUUACACUAGUACAAUAAGGGGUUUUAGUCACGGUUGACCUUGUCACGGUUUUAUGUAAACACGUGACCAAAAUUGAGUUCGUCUCGGGGAUAUAAAGGUCCGGGACUAUUUACGAUAUCUUUAGUCCCGGCAUUCAUUUUAGCCGAGACACUAGAUUUCUAGAUACUUAAUAGACCCGGUUUUACAAACGUACUUAUCUCCAGAGACGUGUAAAUUGGGCAGUAUUUAAUUGAUAGCCGAGAUAGUAAAUUGGACACGUAUUUAUCUCCAGAGACGUGUUGUGGAUUUAGGACCUUGGAAGAUGAAGCACAACUCCCGUUUCUAAACCUAAUUUCUCCCCUGCUAUCAAUCCCAUUCUCCCCUGUUGCCAAAUUUCAAUUCGAAAUCAAAACCCAUUCUCCCCUGUUAUCAAUCCCUAACUAAUUUAUCCAUUCAGCUAAUUCUACCGAAGAUUUUAUUGAUCGAUGAGAUCUCACGGAGAUUUUUUAUUGGACACGGCUUACAUUAAACCGUGUCUGAUGCAACUGUUUAAUACCCGCGCCUAUGAUGUACCCAUUUCAAAUUUACUGCCAAUUUUGGUAUCCCACGAUCAACACCACUCCACUCCCUAUUUUCUCUCCAUCAUUUCCUUUUUUGAAACUGCAGCAGUUUUGAAGAGAUUACGUGAAGCCAACUGCAAGUUGUUUUCUCUAUCUGAUGUUAAUCAAGCAAAAUCCUUCC